rnacentral:tRNA from 3 species
GUGGUCGUAGCUCAGUUGGUAGAGCCCCAGAUUGUGAUUCUGGUUGUCGCCGGUUCGAGCCCGGUCGAUCACCCCA